ensembl:lncRNA
UGUCCAAUUCUGGGCACCGUAGUUGAAGGGAGAUGUUGACAAGCUGGAAAGCGUCCAGAGGAGGGCAACUAAAAUGAUUAAGGGUCUGGAGAACAAGCCCUAUGAGGAGCGGCUUAAAGAGCUGGGCAUGUUUAGCCUGCAAAAGAGAAGGCUGAGAGGAGACAUGAUAGCCAUCUACAAAUAUGUGAGGGGAAGUCAUAGGGAGGAGGGAGCAAGCUUGUUUUCUGCUGCCCUGCAGACUAGGACAUGGAACAAUGGCUUCAAACUACAGGAAAGGAGAUUCCACCUGAACAUCAGGAAGAACUUCCUCACUGUGAGAGCUGUUCGACAGUGGAACUCUCUGCCUCGGACUGUGGUGGAGGCUCCUUCUUUGGAGGCUUUUAAGAAGAGACCACAUGGGCCAUCUAGUCCAACCCCCUGCUAAGAAGCAUAAAUCGCAUUCAAAGCACCCCCGACAGAUGGCCAUCCAGCCUCUGCUUAAAAGCCUCCAAGGAAGGAGCCUCCGCCACGGCCCCGGGGAGAGAGUUCCACUGUCGAACAGCUCUCACAGUGAGGAAGUUCUUCCUGAUGUUCAGGUGGAAUCUCCUUUCCUGUAGUUUGAAGCCAUUGUUCCGUGUCCUAGUCUGCAGGGCAGCAGAAAACAAGCUUGCUCCCUCUUCCCUAUGACUUCCCUUCACGUAUUUGUACAUGGCUAUCAUGUCUCCUCUCAGCCUUCUCUUCUGCAGGCUAAACAUGCCCAGCUCUUUAAGCCGCUCCUCAUAGGGCUUGUUCUCCAGACCCUUAAUCAUUUUAGUCGCCCUCCUCUGGACGCUUUCCAGCUUGUCAACAUCUCCCUUCAACUGCGGUGCCCAAAAUUGGACACAGUUUUCCAGGUGUGGUCUGACCAAGGCAGAAUAGAGGGGGAGCAUAACUUCCCUGGAUCUAGACGCGAUUCCCCUAUUGAUGCAGGCCAGAAUCCCAUUGGCUUUUUUAGCAGCCGCAUCACAUUGUUGGCUCAUGUUUAACUUGUUGUCCACGAGGACUCCAAAGACACUUAUUGAACCAACUGACCUGAAAGAAAAGGCAGCAAAAAACAAUUUGUCUCCUGGCUUGCAGGUGUUGUCAUGUCAUUUGCUCUCCACAUUCUUUUGUUACUCUUCUCUGCUCUGUUGGAGUGAUGAGAUGCAAGUAUGUUCACAUAUGACCUGGGAUUGAGAUUACAGCUUGUUCACAGCUUGCAUGCUCCUGGAUCUAGCACUGCUCCUUAAAGGUCAUAUGGUUGAGAUGUCCACAGUGCCUUUGCCCAGCUUUGGUAGGUGUGCCAACUGAGCCUUUCUUAGGGAGGUCACAUUUGGCCACAACACUUCAUGUAUUGAUCACCUCAAAUUAGAAUACUGUAAUAUACAUUACAUGGGGCUACCACUGAAAAUUGUUUGGAAGCUACAACUAAAGCAACAUGUGGUGGGAAGAUUGUUAUAAAAAACAUGAGUCUUAUAUUAACUGUCUGAACCCAAUUCAUAGUGCCUGGUAUUAACCUGCAAAGUCCUAAAUCCUCUAUACAUAUCCCACCAGGUCAUGAAGUUAGGCUGGUGAGUAUCUGUGGCAGAAUUUUCUCCAUAGCAGUACUCCAAGGGAUCCGAGGCUGGCUCAAUUUUUGUAAGUUUCCAGUAGACAGUAGUCUUUGGUCCUUAAAAUUAGGGUUUUUGUUUUGGAUAAGUGUGGGCUCCUCUACACUUAACUAAAACCUGGUAGAAAGCAUGUUAGAAAAACCCACUUCCUCCUGAGUUUCAGUCCCCAUCUCCUUCCACAACCUCAGGGGGUGACACAAUGACAUCUCGGAUCAACCAAAGGUUGAUCUCAGGUAAACCUGUUACUUAUCAUGAGCUUU